rnacentral:tRNA from 1 species
UGGGGUGUAGCUCAAUUGGCAGAGCACGCGACUGUUAAUCGCGCGGUUUCAGGUUCGAGUCCUGACGCCCCAGC